GCCAGACUCCUACGGGAGGCAGCAGUGGGGAAUAUUGGGCAAUGGGCGCAAGCCUGACCCAGCAACGCCGCGUGAAGGAAGAAGGCUUUCGGGUUGUAAACUUCUUUUCUCGGGGACGAAGAAAGUGACGGUACCUGAGGAAUAAGCCACGGCUAGCUACGUGCCAGCAGCCGCGGUAAUACGUAGGUGGCAAGCGUUAUCCGGAUUUAUUGGGUGUAAAGGGCGUGUAGGCGGGAGCGCAAGUCAGAUGUGAAAACUCAGGGCUCAACCCAUAACCUGCAUUUGAAACUGGAGUUCUUGAGUGAUGGAGAGGCAGGCGGAAUUCCGUGUGGAGCGGUGAAAUGCGUAGAUAUACGGAGGAACACCAGUGGCGAAGGCGGCCUGCUGGACAUUAACUGACGCUGAGGCGCGAAAGCGUGGGGAGCAAACAGGAUUAGAUACCCUGGUAUAG
rnacentral:rRNA from 1 species